AACGAACGCUGGCGGCAGGCCUAACACAUGCAAGUCGAGCGGACAUCUUCGGAUGUUAGCGGCGGACGGGUGAGUAACGCGUGGGAACGUGCCCUUUGCUUCGGAAUAGCCUCGGGAAACUGGGAGUAAUACCGGAUGUACCCUUUGGGGGAAAGAUUUAUCGGCAAAGGAUCGGCCCGCGUUGGAUUAGGUAGUUGGUGGGGUAAUGGCCUACCAAGCCGACGAUCCAUAGCUGGUUUGAGAGGAUGAUCAGCCACACUGGGACUGAGACACGGCCCAGACUCCUACGGGUGGCGGCAGGGGGAAUUCUAGAAAAAGGGGGGAAACCCUAAUCUCCCCAUCCCGGGUGAGAGUGGAGGCCCUUGGGGUUUAAAACCUCUUCCCCCGGGGAAUAUAAUGAGGGUCCCCGAAAAAAAAGCCCGGGCUACCCCCGGC
rnacentral:rRNA from 1 species